GAUGAACGCUGGCGGCGUGCCUAAUACAUGCAAGUCGAGCGAACAGAUGAGGAGCUUGCUCCUCUGACGUUAGCGCCGGACGGGUGAGUAACACGUGGAUACCCUCCCUAUCAUUCUGGGAUAACUUCGGGAAACCGGAGCUUAUCCCGGAUAAUAUAUUGCACCGCAUGGUUCAAUGGUGAAAUACGGUUUUUGUGUCACUUAUAGAUGGAUCCGCGCCGCAUGAGCUAGUUGGUAAGGUAACGGCGUACCAAGGCAACGAUGCGUAGCCGACCUGAGAGGGGGAUCGGCCACACUGGAACGGAGACAGGGUCCAGACGCCUACGGGAGGGCGCAGUAGGGAAUCGGCCGCAAUAGGGGAAAGCAUGACGGAGCAACGCCGCGUGAGGUAUGACGAUCGCCGGAUCGUAAAACUCGGUUAUUAGGGAAGAACAAAUGUGGAAGUAACUAGGCACGGCUUGACGGUACCUAAUCAGAAAGCCACGGCUAACUACGUG
rnacentral:rRNA from 1 species